CCCGGCGGCCAUAGCGGGGAGGAAACACCCGUUCCCAUUCCGAACACGGAAGUUAAGCUCCCCAGCGCCGAUGGUACUGCGGGCG
rnacentral:rRNA from 1 species